rnacentral:rRNA from 1 species
AUUGAACGCUGGCGGCAGGCCUAACACAUGCAAGUCGAGCGGAUGAGUGGAGCUUGCUCCAUGAUUCAGCGGCGGACGGGUGAGUAAUGCCUAGGAAUCUGCCCUGGUAGUGGGGGACAACGUUUCGAAAGGAACGCUAAUACCGCAUACGUCCUACGGGAGAAAGCAGGGGACCUUCGGGCCUUGCGUUAUCAGAUGAGCCUAGGUCGGAUUAGCUAGUAGGUGAGGUAAUGGCUCACCUAGGCGACGAUCCGUAACUGGUCUGAGGGGAUGAUCAGUCACACUGGAACUGAGACACGGUCCAGACUCCUACGGGAGGCAGCAGGUGGGGAAUUUUGGACAAUGGGCGCAAGCCUGAUCCAG